CAUAUAAAAAAAGACAACUCUGUUCCGCAGAGUAGCAGUUGACAUUAUAACUGUGCAGGCACUUUGUUUACUCUAGAGAACCUCGGGCCAAUCGUACAUCCCCGUGGCGGCGACUUUGCACGCGGAUGUCAUCCAUAUCAACUUUUGAUGCCAGUUUCUGCGCCUACCAUGGUGACCACGGGUAACAGGGAAUCAGGGUUCCAUUCCGUACAGGGACCCUGAGAAACGGCUACCACAUGCAAGGAAGGCAG